rnacentral:lncRNA from 1 species
UCCUGGCCUCAUGCAAUUCUCUCUCCUCAGCCUCCCAAAGUGCCAGAAUUACAGAACAUAGAAGAGCAAACUGAGGCUUUCUUGGACAGCAUUGCAGCCAGGAGCUUAAAAGAUGCCGCAGGAGUUUCAAGACAGUAUAGCUAGAGAGCUACUAAAAGCCAGCACACUGAAACUGUUCUCAGAAAACAAAGGCAUCAUCGACUUCCCAGGUUUAUGGUGGUGAUUUAAGGCCAAGAGACAGACUCCAGGCUCAUCUAGUAACACUCAGGCUACUCCAGUUCAAAGGCAGCCACGUGACAGAUGCUGCUGAAUUUGAAUUGGGAUCGUAUGUAGUUCCUCAUCUAGGAACUAGUGAUGAGUCAAAUAUAAAUUAAGAUAUAGUUUGGAAAUAUUAAGAAAUAUGUAUUGAUUUUAACCAGAAAUAUAUGAUCUGAAAGACAGUAGAAUGUAAUUAUUGGUCUGUUUACCUGACAUUUUGCUUCCCAUUAUGUAUAUGACGUGAAAAUCUUUAUUAAAGGAAAGUAUUUUUGUAUCAUGCCUGUCUGAUGAAAACUUAUAUAGUAUGUAAAGUAAUGAUUCUUGGUCCUCUUGAGUAACUCUCAAAUGGAUCUUACAAAUGUAAACUAGUAUUAUUGGCCGGGCGUCGUGGCUCACACCUGUAAUCCCAGCACUUGGGAGGCCGAGGUGGAUGGAUCAUGAGGUCAGACCGAGACCAGCCUGACCAACAUGGUGAAACCCCGUCUCUACUAAAAAUACAAAAAUUAGCUGGAUGUGGUGGCACACCUUUAAUCCCAGCUACUCAGGAGGCUGAGGCAGGAGAAUCCCUUGAACCCAGGAGGUGGAGGUUGCAGUGAGCCAAGAUCGUGCCACUGCACUCUAGCUUGGGCAAUAGAGCAAGACUACGUCUCAAAAAAAAAAAAAAAAGAGAAAAGAAAGAAAAGAAAAAGAAAACGAGUAUUAUUGAGUUUUACAUACUCAAACUUUCAAAAUGCCAGCUGGUUAAACAGCCAAACAGCUAAGUUGUCAUUAAUACUUCAGUGGAGUUAGAUGGUUUAUUCUUAUUUUAUAAUUUUUCUAUAGUGAUAGAUUUUGAUUUAGACAGACAUCCUUUUGACAUAUUGAUACUGUGGUCAUUGUCAAUGUUUGGAUGUAUGUCAACUGUUACAGUGCUGUCGAACUUACGUAAUCUUAAUUUUAAGCACUGAUAUAUGUAGAUCUUUUCUUCUGGAAAUAUAUGAGUUGCCUUAGGCUUUUCACCUUUUCUAUUUAUUUAUUUUUAUUUUUAUUUUUAUUUGUGAACCUUUUGGAAACACUCUUAAAAUUAUAGA